rnacentral:lncRNA from 10 species
UUUAAUUUAAAUAUUUCAGAAAUUCCAAAAUUUUGAAUAUACAUCAGUCACCACUUCAUUUCUGUUGGUAAUUGCUCAUAUUGACACCAGCGUGAACUAACCAUGGCUCAGGUAGAAAACAAUGCAACUGACACUAUAUUUUCCUCUGCCAACAACUCAGGAGGGAAGGAAUCCACAAAUUAGGUUGACACAUGGUGUCUAGAAAGAAUUAAUUCCCACUCGAUUCUGGGCAGCCUUACAAGCUGGGUUCCAUCCAUAAAGACUGAUGGGAACUCUGGGGUUUGGUUUAUAUGGUGAUAUUUUCUGUUGCCAUCAACAACCGGACAUAAGAAUACUGAUCACUGAAGAACAUUUCUUUUGUUUUUGCUGCUAUAUUAUAUCAAGACACUUGGGAAUUGUUCCACACUUGGAAGUUGUUCUUAACCUGCAUUCAAUAGUUUUUCUGUAUUUGUCAUGUUGAUAUCUUCUGGCAGGAACACUGAGACAUUUAUUGUAAAAGCUUUAUCAGGGGACAAAAAUAUUUUGGAUAUGCCAAAUCAAAUUAGAGUGCACUUGAACAGUCAUCAUCCAUCUUUUAUCCAUGAUUAGCAUUCAUUAUGCAGUAUCAGAAGGAUUUACAUUAGAAUUAAUAGACAUCAUGGAAAAAAAUAUUUUUAAAUGUUUCCUGCUGAAACCAGGACUACUUAAGGAGCAGUUAUUCAGCAUAACUGGGUUAAUUAUGACCGUAGUACUCUCCCAAAUAUUUCUAACACCUAUUGGCUGGCAUUCAAAUUAGUGUUAGACAAAAAUGGUAAAGUAGGCCACAUUUUAUCUUUUGGAUCCCCUUGUUUUCAAUUUACUCUCAUUUAUUCAAAAUUUAUUUAUUAAGUGCCCAUUACACACUAGACACUAUUCCAAGCAAAAAGUC